rnacentral:rRNA from 1 species
AAUCAACGCUGGCGGCGUGCCUCAGACAUGCAAGUCGAACGAGAAAGUCCCCUUCGGGGGGUGAGUAAAGUGGCGCACGGGUGAGUAACACGUAGGUAAUCUACCUUCGGGUGGGGAAUAACCCAGGGAAACUUGGGCUAACACCGCAUAAUGCAGCGGCACCACAUGGUGACAGUUGUUAAAGCGGGGGAUUUUAGGACCUCGCGCCUGAAGAGGAGCCUGCGGCGGAUUAGCUAGUUGGUAGGGUAACGGCUUACCAAGGCGACGAUCCGUAACCGGCCUGAGAGGGCGGUCGGUCACACUGACACUGACAUACGGGUCAGACUCCUACGGGAGGCAGCAGUCGGAAUUUGGGCAAUGGGCGAAAGCCUGACCCAGCAACGCCGCGUGAAGGAUGAAAUCCC